rnacentral:rRNA from 1 species
GAUGAACGCUGGCGGCGUGCCUAAUAGAUGCAAGUCGAGCGAACGGACGAGAAGCUUGCUUCUCUGAUGUUAGCGGCGGACGGGGGAGUAACACGUGGAUAACCUACCUAUAAGACUGGGAUAACUUCGGGAAACCGGAGCUAAUACCGGAUAAUAUUUUGAACCGCAUGGUUCAAAAGUGAAAGACGGUCUUGCUGUCACUUAUAGAUGGAUCCGCGCUGCAUUAGCUAGUUGGUAAGGUAACGGCUUACCAAGGCAACGAUGCAUAGCCGACCUGAGAGGGUGAUCGGCCACACUGGAACUGAGACACGGUCCAGACUCCUACGGGAGGCAGCAGUAGGGAAUCUUCCGCAAUGGGCGAAAGCCUGACGGAGCAACGCCGCGUGAGUGAUGAAGGUCUUCGGAUCGUAAAACUCUGUUAUUAGGGAAGAACAUAUGUGUAAGUAACUGUGCACAUCUUGACGGUACCUAAUCAGAAAGCCACGGCUAACUACGUG